AAGUCAGAGGUUACCAAGCUCAUUAAGGAUCACGAGGGGAUGGAAGUAAGAAAGGCUAAAGAGCUCAUCAAGCGACUAGAGAAGGAAAUCAUGGAGUUGAAGAGGAGAGAUGCCGAGUUGUCCAAGCUUUCACAGUCAGAUGACCACAUCCACUUCCUUCAGAAGUUCCCAACUCUGUGUGUUCCACCUGAAGAUGAAGACAUCAUUGUUAAUAGUGAUUUGCUUCCUGAAACUCUAAGGAAGGAUCUGAUUAUUUUGAAGGAGAAUCUGGAAGAAGUCAAUGGCUGGGAGUUUUUGAAGACCAGUGAAACUGAGGACAACAUUUCAGGUUAUGUCCUACAGAACCUGAGAAUUAAAGAUCGACUUUUAAAAUCUGAUGAUAAGCCUCCCAGACUCUCCAAUAUGUAUGUUCACUUCAAUACAUUUAAUCAGCACUGCACACUGAUCUGCAUUGUAUCAGACUUUUAUCCAAAAGAGAUCAAUGUCACCUGGUUAAGGAGAAAAAAGAGUAAAAUCUAUUUGUUUGAUGGGUCAGAUGACUGGAACCCCACUGUGAGUCACUAUGGACCAUCAUUGACAAAUAAUAAAUACUCACUGGUAUCUCAGGCUGAGUUCAUCCCUCAGUCCCUGAGUGAUCUGGAGGACAUGCAGUUCAUCUGCAGAGUGGAGCACAAGACCCUAAAUGGGAAGACAAUUGAGGAGAGCUGCCCAGUAAUACCAGGUCUGCAGAAACGGCCCAUUGUGUCAGUCAUAAAGAUGAUUGACUAUAAUGGACCUCGCCAGCGCUGCACCCUGAGCUGCUCCAUCCAGGAUUUCUACCCCAAAGACAUCAAGGUGACAUGGCAGCGGGCUGGUCAGAAUGGACCUAACAUCAGUGACUUGAGCUGUGUUCCUCAGAGAGGAGAAUGGAGCUAUAAUCUACAGUCUAAGGCCUCAAUCGUUGCCAAAACUAAGAGUGAACUGCAGGAAGUACAGUACAUUUGUAAGAUUGAGCAUGAGACUCUAAACCUGAAGCCUAUUGAGAUUUGCAGUGGGAAGCUGGACAUACCAGUUAAGUGAAUCUCUUGUCUCUCAUUAUGUACUGUGUCAAAUGGAGUAUCUCUUGCCGUUGCACGUUACAAACAACUCUUUACAAUUAGAUAUACAUUUUUGAUGCUUAUUGAAUUUCUUACCAUUUUUACUUCCUUGGCAUCCUCAUUCACUUUGGAUGACUCUACAUUAUUCUGUUUGCCUUGACUUGCGAACUACUUCAGCAUUCACUUGCUUGAUUGUUUUAUUUGAGACUGUAAAAGUUCAUUGAAUCACCCAGGUGAUUAAGGUCAUGAUUUUUUGCCUUGUUUAUAAAGAUGGUGGAGAGCUGUGCUGAGCUGAACCUGUGCCCUAUUGAGGUGACAUUACCAACCAUAAAGACCAUUUUUAU